GACAGAGGGUGCAAGCGUUGUUCGGAAUCAUUGGGCGUAAAGGGCGCGCAGGCGGUCGUUCAAGUCGCGUGUGAAAGCCCCCGGCUCAACUGGGGAGGGUCACGCGAUACUGAUCGACUCGAAGGCAGGAGAGGGUAGUGGAAUUCCCGGUGUAGUGGUGAAAUGCGUAGAUAUCUGGAGGAACACCGGUGGCGAAGGCGGCAUCCUGGACCGGCAUUGACGCUGAUGAGCGAAAGCCAGGGGAGCAAACGGG
rnacentral:rRNA from 1 species